rnacentral:tRNA from 1 species
GGAGAGGUGGCAGAGCCCGGUUGAAUGCAGCUGACUCGAAAUCAGCCAUAGUCGCAAGGCUAUCGGGGGUUCGAAUCCCUCCCUCUCCGCCA